UCAGCGGCAGACGGGUGAGUAACACGUAGGUAUCUACCCCAGAGACGGGGAUAACGGGUGGAAACAUCCGCUAAUACCGGAUAGACUUGUUCGGUCAAAGGGACAAGGAAAGGCUCCGGCGCUCUGGGAGGAGCCUGCGGCCCAUCAGCUAGUUGGCGGGGUAACGGCCCACCAAGGCAAAGACGGGUAGGGGGUGUGAGAGCAUGGCCCCCCACAAUGGGACUGGAACACGGCCCAUACUCCUACGGGAGGCAGCAGCAGGGAAUAUUGCACAAUGGACGGAAGUCUGAUGCAGCGACGCCGCGUGGAUGAAGAAGGCCCUCGGGUUGUAAAAUCCUUUACAGGGGGAAGAGGAAGGACGGUACCCCUGGAACAAGUGUCGGCUAACUACGUGCCAGCAGCCGCGGUAAGACGUAGGACACAAGCGUUAUCCGGAUUUACUGGGCGUAAAGCGUCUGCAGGCGGACAGGUAAGUUGGGCGUGAAAGCUCCGGGCCCAACCCGGAGAGGUCGUUCAAUACUGCGUGUCUAGAGGGUGUCAGAGGGGAGUGGAAUUUCCGGAGUAGCGGUAAAAUGCGCAGAGAUCGGGAAAGAACACCAAUGGCGAAGGCAGCUCCCUGGGGCAACCCUGACGCUAAGAGACGAAAGCUAGGGGAGCGAACAGGAUUUAGAGACCCUGGUAGUCCUAGCCCUAAACGAUGGAUGCUGGAUGUGGGACCAUAGCGCUCCGUGUCGAAGCGAACGCGUUAAGCAUCCCGCGUGGGGACUACGGCCGCAAGGUUCUAACUCAAACGAAUGGACGGGACCCAGCACAAGCAGCGGAGCGUGUGGUUUAAUUCGAUGCUACACGA
rnacentral:rRNA from 1 species